rnacentral:rRNA from 1 species
AUUGAACGCUGGCGGCAUGCCUAACACAUGCAAGUCGAACGGCAGCACAGUAAAGAUUUCGGUCUUUAUGGGUGGCGAGUGGCGGACGGGUGAGUAAUGCGUAGGAAUCUGUCCUGGAGAGUAGGAUAACCCGAGGAAACUCGGGCUAAUACUGCAUGAUAUCGAGAGAUCAAAGGCAGGGGACCCUUCGGGGCCUUGCGCUCUAGGAUGAGCCUACGUCGGAUUAGCUAGUUGGUUGGGUAAAGGCCUACCAAGGCGACGAUCCGUAGCUGGUCUGAGAGGAUGACCAGCCACACUGGGACUGAGACACGGCCCAGACUCCUACGGGAGGCAGCAGUGGGGAAUCUUGGACAAUGGGGGAAACCCUGAUCCAGCGAUGCCGCGUGUGUGAAGAAGGCCUUCGGGUUGUAAAGCACUUUAGUUGGGGAAGAAAAGUAAUGAGUGAAUAACUGAUUGCUCUGACGGUACCCAAAGAAUAAGCACCGGCUAACUAUGUGCCAGCAGCCGCGGUAA